AGACCCCAGGCUACAGCCUCCUUAUACUGAGAAUAAAGAACUUGAACAGCCAGCCUGCACAGGCACAACCUCACAGGCAGCUGGUUUUGUUACCAGGAUCACCCACAGCUGCUUUACAAGCCAGGUCUGCCCCAGGUGCAUCACCCAGCUCGAGCACUGGCACUUCCCAGGGGGACAUCACCACCUGAGGUGGCUCAGGCAAGAAACCCACCCAGCUACUCCCAAGAGGUGAUGAUCCCACAAACCAACAGGAAAGUCUCCCCAGGCCAAGGGAAGAAUCAGGAAAGAAAAAGAUGCCACGUCAUCCCCAAGGCUCACUGCAAGAACAACAGACAGGCAGCCAUGGAUUGCAAGGAUAUAAAUUCAUCCAAGGGCUGCAGUGGCCAGAGCUGAUACAAUAACUUUUGCAGCCCUGCAGUUGAAGUCAUCUGAAACCACAAGAUUGGAGUUUGAACGGCACUUGAUAUUAUCAGUGAGCUGAGCCACUGCUCUGCACCUCAGCCACCAUUUUCCCCUUCCAUCCUUCACUGAGAUGUAUGUGCAAAUCCAAAGGAACCAGUCAGUCAAAUGUGGUGAAGCUAUCAAACACACUGCUGCUCUUCCCCAGCAGAAGAAGCCUCACUAAAGCCAAGGGAAUAUCUGAGAAACUGCAGCCAGUAGAGGGAUUUAGGCCUUCCACAAUGCGUGACAAAGCUGUCAUUAAAGCAAUGGAGCAGUCCUGGGAUCUUGAAAAAUGCAAAGAUAAUAGUGUAAACAAUGAGGAAGACUUGUUUGAGGAAAAAAUUCCCAGCACACCACAGUAUGCUCUUGAGCCUCCUGAAUUCACUGUCGUCUGCAAUGCUCCUAUCCCCUUGGAGGAAUUGCUGCACUAUCCAAACCUCAAUCAGACAAACUUAUUCUGAGUCCCUUAUGAUGUUUGGGUUAUAAGGCUCAUGCUGUAUAUUGAUUUGUCUUCUCCUCCUCCCUGCCCACCUCAGGGCCUCAUUUCCCAUUUCGUCUACAUCGGUUUCCUGGAUUGCAGAGGGAAUUGUCUCAAGGUCAUACCAAGAUGCUUCAGAAGGGCUCAGCGAUGAAAAAUGUAUGCAGCCCAAAAUAUUGUCUAAAAGCAAUAGACUGAAUAUAUAAUGCCUGAGCCCCAAAAGAGUUCUGAUGUAUUUAAGACACAGGGAUAUAGAUGCACACUUUUAAAAACUGCCCGUACUUCACCAGUUAAAACGAUGAGAACAAAUGAGGCUGUGAUCUGUCAAGUGAUCCUUCAUCACUCCCAGCACAGGCCCAUAAUCCUUCAGUUGUGAUUAUGCAAAGGAAUAUUACAUUGAUCCUGUAAAAUAUCUCUGAUUGGAUCAAUGUUAUUUUCUCUCGCAUUGACAAGGUCUUACCAGAGAAUGACUGUAAUUCCACUGCUAACACUGUCUUAGUGAAAUCCCCCAAUAAAUCCUCCAAGCAGCACUGUUAGUAAUACUUUUAUUAGACUAACUAAACAAGAUAUUUAUAUGUAGGGCUUUCCAAAGGACUCUGGCUUCUGCUUCAGUUUCUGGGAAUUUUUUAUCCUCAGACAAGUCUUCCUCAUUGUUUACACUAUCAUUGUUUACACUGUUGAUCAACAGUGCUCUCCUGGAAGACUUGCCCCCAAGGAGGCUCUGCAAGGAUGAGCAGUUUUGACACAGGGAGUAGGCUGACUUAACCUCGGUGAUACCUCCAAGCCAGAUGAACCGUUGGCACGUGUAAUGGUUCCAAAAACCUGUUUGAAGUGCUGUGGCCUCAUUGCUCUUUCCAGAGACCCACUUCAGCACAGCUUCUAGCCUACCUGUAUUCAUGGCCCUCACACACACCGUUUUCUCUGCUAAUGUCAUCCUUAGCUUAAGCACAUCUUCCCCCUCUCCUGUGUUUAACUCCUUUUCUUCUGGAUAACAAUUCCAUUUGUAAAAUAGAUCUUUCAUUACUUUUCUCACACUAGUAAUCCCACUCCAGGCCUGCUUGGAAUUCAUCUUCAUCACAGGUGGUUGACGAGAAUUGCAAAGAUUGUAACAGAGAAGGCUUGAUUUACACCUUGCCCAUGACUUUAACAUUUCUCUUCUUGAAAUAUCCAGCUAGCUCUGUUCUUCAGUCACAUCUGCCUUUCUCCUGGCCAUGGUUCUGCUGCUCUCUGUCUGCACUUCAAGAUAUGUGCACCUUAAUGAACCCCUUGUCCCCGCUAAGGUGUGUCUACAUCCCAGCUGAGCUAAGGGUGAGAUUCAGGUAUGCGCCUUUCCCACCCUGAAAGGAAACCCUCUGCAGUACCUGCCCAGGGAGAAGGCAUCUGAGCCCAAAUCUCCUCAUAGCCUGGAUGUCUGGAGGACCAGAAUUCCAAUCUGCAACACAGAGGGUAUUUAGUCAAUAAUGUAAACGUUCUCCAGGACAAAAAGUUUACAUAGAAAGAAAUUUCACAACUUUCCUGUCACCCAGUCCUCAACAUUACCCAGUUCCUUGUAUAUAGUCCAGGACUUCUUUCUCUAAGCAAUGUCUCAUUCUUGGGGCAGCAGGAAAUGUCUUAAGUUCAUUCCUUUGUGCCCAGCCCAAUGAGAGCUGUCACCUCCUCUUACAGACCCUGCUCCAGCAUCACUAAUGAUAUUAUUAAAAAAGGUCGGUCGCCUUCUUCAGGAACUCUUCUGUUGACCUUUAUCUUGAAACUCCCUCUCUCAGCACUUUUUGCUUUCCUUUGGUCAGUUCCUUAAACACACUGUAAAUUGUGUACUAAUUACCUUAACAUUGAAAUAACCCAGUUCCUUAGGGGCAGAAUAUAAAAUCCUUUACCAAAAUCCUGAUAACUUAGGUCUAAGGCAUUUCCUUAUCUCAAACCCCAGUUAUCUUCCUAGCAAAAUAUGGCACGGUAGUCUGGCACAGUUCAAAUAGGAAAACAUACAUUGCAUGUUGAUUUCAUUUUUCCCCCGUGCAUUUAAUUAAUCUUUCCUUUAGAACUUACUUUAAACAGUAUUAUUGGUAUUAUUAUGAUCAAACUAAAAGGUCCACUGUGGCCCAGACAACUUUUGCUCCUUUCUUUAAAUAUAGAUUUGCUACUUUUCAUUCCUAAUGUACCACCCUAAUUAGACAGAUUUAUUGAAAAUCCUUUUUACUGGAUUUGCAAUGUCACAUCUUUCAGAAGUCUGAGAUGGAAAUUAUCCAACUUCCCAAUUUGAGCCCAUUAAGCUAUUUGAGUUUUUCCAUUUGCCCUGUUCCUGUUGGCUGGCUCCUUUGUCUCUCUGAUCACCAUAACAUUCCUCCCCAUCUCUUUAACCUUUAUAAAACAUCGUAUGAGCAGAACUGGGCAAUCUUGAGGACUAGUGAAUAC